AUGCGGUGUGCUGACGUCUUAGCUGAGAAUGCAACAGAUGGACACUGGGUGUUUGCCAAGGCUGUCUUCAAAAGCACGGUGACGGGGACAGUCACACUGUCCCAGCAGACCUUUCUGGAUGGCAGCAACAGUGACAUCACUCUGGAGGUGGACGUGCGGGCGUCACAGGUGCUAGAUGUAACAGAGGUUUCCUGGACCAUCACUGGUAAAGGCUCUGAGGUGAACGACAACCAGUGUCCCGGUGUUGGGGACACGUUUAACCCCUUCAACAUGGAAGCUGGGAACUCCAGUUGUUCCCGUGACAACGCUCUGAGUUGUGAGGUGGGAGACCUGACGACCAGACAGGGGACAGUCAGCUUGACACACAGACAGCUUUACACCGACACCAGCAUACAACUGGCUGGGGACUACACAGGUAACACACAAGCAUGUACACACACACACACACACACACACACACACACACACACACACACACACACACACACACACACACACACACACACACACACACACACACACACACACACACAGCACUGUAAGCUGGACCAGACAGAAUACAGAUAGCUGUACUCAGACACCAGCAUACACAUGUCAGGGGAGUACACAGGUAACAGACACACAUUGUUUGUUCAGAAAUCUAGACUCCUUUAGGGUGCACAUGAAACAUAAUAUUGAUUUGUUGUCAUUGCACGCUCACCGAACUGCAAUCCAAAAUUGUUGCAUCACAUUGUUUCCCAAGAGAAUCAAGUUUCGUGAGAAAAAUGUCAACCACCUUCACUAUUAGGGGAUAUGUCAUGUGUGAAACAACAAAGUCAUUUAGGUGAUAAUAUAAAAAGUAUAUUUCUGACUUUGGUGCUGUUGUUGAUGUUGUUGUUGUAGUGGUCCACAGGUCCCUGGUCCUGAGGAGAGGCAGCGAUGUCUUGGCGUGUGCCGUCAUUCUUCCAGAAUCCCCCUGGGCAGAGCAGACCUUCCCCAACGUCAUGUCUUUCAGCAGGUGGGUGUGAUUGGAUAUUAAACCGCCUGUGAACUCUAGACUGUGUUAGCCCAUCAAGCUAAGACCUACAGGGGUUCGUGUUGGGAGCCAAUAUGUGAGACUGAGCGGGUAUUAAACCAUGGAACUGGAGAGGGAAUGAGGAAGUGAAUGUUACAUGUAAUUAGACUACUUGUUUUUAAUACUUGAGUACCUGGCACUUACAUUUAUGGGGAAUAUUUCAACCAUCAAGGAAACACCAGUAUUAUCUUGCUCUGUGGAAAGGGUUCUACAUAGAACCCAAAAGGGUUCUACAAAGGGUUAUCCUAUGGGGACAGCCGAAGAACCCUUUUUUUCAAAGAGUGUAUUCUCACCACCUCCUCAGCCAGCCACCACAUGUGCCACACCUGAAUAAUCACUAAUCCUGAAUUAUGGGAUGACAGUACAUCAUCAUGAAUAUAUAUGUAUGCUGAGUGUACAAAACAUUAGGACCCCCUUCUCUUUCCAUGACAAACUGACCAGGUGAAUUCAGGUGAAAGCUGCAGUAUGAUCCCUUAUUGAUGUCACUUGUUAAAUCC
rnacentral:lncRNA from 1 species